GUAACUUCAUUACAUGUACUUACUGUGCAUUUACUGUCUUACAGAAAACAAAGAAGGAUCCCUCUUGUCUGCAGAUUUUGCUUGAAGAACCAGGACACCCUCUCUCGACACCUCAGCAGAGUGUGCAUGAAGUUAAAAACAAAACAAGAGAUUGUUCAAGAAGUCGCCGCUGCCCGAGAUUCCAUGAUAGAGCAUCUUUGCAAAGGCAGGAUCUUUGACUACAGCUUACUGAGCUGUAUUGUUAUACAACAAGACAGACUCCAACUCCUGAUCCAGAAGCUUGAAGAAACGGGUCAUAUUGUUAAGAACAAGCCAGAAGUCAAACAAGCACCUGUCCAAGUGGAAGUGGCUCAUGUGUUGACACCAACUGAAGAUGCAGAUGCUGAAUCAGACAACAACACGGAGGAUGACAAGUCUGCCUUGUACCAACCACCAAUGAACCAGUCAUGUGACAACAAACUGAGAAAGGCAAUGCAAAUGAGUGGUUUGUACCAAAAGCACCCUCUGGAUUGUGA